AAAAUGCGAUAAGUAAUGUGAAUUGCAGAAUUCAGUGAAUCAUCGAAUCUUUGAACGCACAUUGCGCCCGCCAGUAUUCUGGCGGGCAUGCCUGUUCGAGCGUCAUUUCAACCCUCAAGCUCAGCUUGGUGUUGGGUCUCGCGGUAACCCGCGUUCCCCAAAUCGAUUGGCGGUCACGUCGAGCUUCCAUAGCGUAGUAAUCAUACACCUCGUUACUGGUAAUCGUCGCGGCCACGCCGUAAAACCCCAACUUCUGAAUGUUGACCUCGGAUCAGGUAGGAAUACCCGCUGAACUUAAGC
rnacentral:misc_RNA from 1 species